AUACGUAGGGUGCGAGCGUUGUCCGGAAUUACUGGGCGUAAAGAGCUCGUAGGCGGUUUGUCGCGUCGUCUGUGAAAUUCUGCAACUCAAUUGUAGGCGUGCAGGCGAUACGGGCAGACUUGAGUACUACAGGGGAGACUGGAAUUCCUGGUGUAGCGGUGAAAUGCGCAGAUAUCAGGAGGAACACCGGUGGCGAAGGCGGGUCUCUGGGUAGUAACUGACGCUGAGGAGCGAAAGCGUGGGUAGCGAACAGGAUUAGAUACCCUGGUAGUCCACGCCGUAAACGGUGGGUACUAGGUGUGGGGCUCAUUUCACGAGUUCCGUGCCGUAGCUAACGCAUUAAGUACCCCGCCUGGGGAGUACGGCCGCAAGGCUAAA
rnacentral:rRNA from 1 species